rnacentral:rRNA from 1 species
GACGAACGCUGGCGGCGUGCUUAACACAUGCAAGUCGAACGGAAAGGCCCUGCUUUUGUGGGGUGCUCGAGUGGCGAACGGGUGAGUAACACGUGAGUAACCUGCCCUUGACUUUGGGAUAACUUCAGGAAACUCGGGCUAAUACCGGAUAGGAGCUCCUGCUGCAUGGUGGUGGUUGGAAAGUUUCGGCGGUUUGGGAUGGACUCGCGGCUUAUCAGCUUGUUGGUCGGGUAGUGGCUUUCCAAGGCUUUGACGGGUAGCCGGCCUGAGAGGGUGACCGGCGACAUGAGGCCUGAGGUACGGCCCAGAAGCCUAUGGGAGGCAGCAGUGGGGAAUAUUGCACAAUGGGCGGAAGCCAGAGGCAGCAACGCCGCGUGCGGGAUGACGGCCUUCGGGUUGUAAACCGCUUUCGCAUGUGACGAAGCGUGAGUGACGGUAAUGGGUAAAGAAGCACCGGCUAACUACGUG